GCAUUAUACCGUGAAACUGCGAAUGGCUCAUUAAAUCAGUUAUCGUUUAUUUGAUAGUACCUUACUACUUGGAUAACCGUGGUAAUUCUAGAGCUAAUACAUGCUAAAAACCCCAACUUCGGGAGGGGUGUAUUUAUUAGAUAAAAAACCAAUGCCCUUCGGGGCUCUUUGGUGAUUCAUGAUAACUUAACGGAUCGCAUGGCCUUGCGCCGGCGACGGUUCAUUCAAAUUUCUGCCCUAUCAACUUUCGAUGGUAAGGUAUUGGCUUACCAUGGUUUCAACGGGUAACGGGGAAUUAGGGUUCGAUUCCGGAGAGGGAGCCUGAGAAACGGCUACCACAUCCAAGGAAGGCAGCAGGCGCGCAAAUUACCCAAUCCCGACACGGGGAGGUAGUGACAAUAAAUACUGAUACAGGGCUCUUUUGGGUCUUGUAAUUGGAAUGAGUACAAUUUAAACCCCUUAACGAGGAACAAUUGGAGGGCAAGUCUGGUGCCAGCAGCCGCGGUAAUUCCAGCUCCAAUAGCGUAUAUUAAAGUUGUUGCAGUUAAAAAGCUCGUAGUUGAAACUUGGGCCUGGCUGUCUGGUCCGCCUCACCGCGUGUACUGGUUCGGCCGGGCCUUUCCUUCUGGAGAGCCUCAUGCCCUUCACUGGGUGUGUUGGGGAACCAGGACUUUUACUUUGAAAAAAUUAGAGUGUUCAAAGCAGGCCUUUGCUCGAAUACGUUAGCAUGGAAUAAUAGAAUAGGACGUGCGAUCCUAUUUUGUUGGUUUCUAGGACCGCCGUAAUGAUUAAUAGGGAUAGUCGGGGGCAUCAGUAUUCAAUUGUCAGAGGUGAAAUUCUUGGAUUUAUUGAAGACUAACUACUGCG
rnacentral:rRNA from 1 species